ncrna:unclassified sequences pemK RNA
UUAAAGAUACUUCUCUGCGGAGCGGGCGGACAACCCGGCAGAGGUUAGAUUCCUAUGG